AGCCAACCAGCUAGCCCUAAUACUAAAUUCAACAACCAAAUAUUAAUAAACCCUAAAUCACCAUAAAACUAUAAAUAAAACAUUUUGCACCCUUAGUAUAGGAGAUAGAAAAGGAAUAUACGGAGCAAUAGAAAAAGUACCGCAAGGGAAAGCUGAAAGAGAGAUGAAAAAGCCCAGUAAAGCCUAAUAAAGCAGAGAUAUACCCUCGUACCUUUUGCAUCAUGAAUUAGCCAGUAAAACUAAGCAAAGAGCCCUUAAGUUUAGUACCCCGAAACUAGGUGAGCUACUCCAAGACAGCCUAUUAAAGGGCAAACCCGUCUCUGUGGCAAAAGAGUGGGAAGAGCUUCGAGUAGCGGUGACAGACCUACCGAACCUAGUAAUAGCUGGUUGCCUGAGAAGUGGAUAUAAGUUCAGCCCUGUAAUUUUCUUUCUUCAUAUAUUUACUUCCUUAAAUGAUCACAAGAAAUUAUAGGAGUUAGUCAAAAGGGGUACAGCCCUUUUGAACCAAGAUACAACUUUAUAAGGAGGGAAUAGAUCAUAAUACUAAAGGUAAAAUGUUUUAGUGGGCCUAAAAGCAGCCACCUAAAUAGAAAGCGUUAUAGCUCAGACAUAAAAUUCUAAACCUUAAAUCAAGAUAACAAUUCUCAACCCCCUAACCAUAACAGGCCCUCCCAUGCUAACAUGGGAAUGAUAAUGCUAAUAUGAGUAAUAAGAGAGAUACCGACCCUCUCCCUGCCCAUGUGUAUAUCGGAACGGACAAACCACCGACCAUUAACGCCCCCAAACAAAGAGGGCAUUAAACAUCAUCUUAAAACCACUAGAAAACCGUUUAAAAAUAAGCGUUAACCCCACACUGGUGAGCAUACAGGGAAAGACUAAAAGAAUGAGAAGGAACUCGGCAAACACAUGAACCCUCGCCUGUUUACCAAAAACAUCGCCUCUUGCAAAAAUCAAAGAAUAAGAGGUCGCGCCUGCCCAGUGACAAUUAGUUUAACGGCCGCGGUAUUUUGACCGUGCUAAGGUAGCGUAAUCACUUGUCUUUUAAAUGAAGACCUGUAUGAAUGGUAUGACGAGGGCUUAACUGUCUCCUCACUCUAGUCAAUGAAAUUGAUCUUCCCGUGCAGAAGCGGGAAUAGAUACAUAAGACGAGAAGACCCUAUGGAGCUUUAGAUACUAGAAUAGACCAUGUUAAUAAACUCUAAAUUAAAGAAUUGAACCUAAUGGGAUACUAUUUUUAUAUCUUCGGUUGGGGCGACCAUGGGGAAAUAUAAAACCCCCACGUGGAAUAAGAGAACUAACCCAUAAUCAACCCUCUUAAAAACAUAGAGCCACACCUCCAAUUAACAGAACUUCUGACCAAAAAUGAUCCGGCAAUGCCGAUCAACGGACCAAGUUACCCUAGGGAUAACAGCGCAAUCCCCUUUUAGAGCCCUUAUCAACAAGGGGGUUUACGACCUCGAUGUUGGAUCAGGACAUCCUAAUGGUGCAACCGCUAUUAAGGGUUCGUUUGUUCAACGAUUAAAGUCCUACGUGAUCUGAGUUCAGACCGGAGUAAUCCAGGUCAGUUUCUAUCUAUGAAAUAAUCUUUUCUAGUACGAAAGGACCGAAAAGAAGAGGCCAAUGCCAAAGCAUGCCUCCCCCUUACCUAAUGAAAACAUCUAAAUUAGGCAAAAGGGUAUACAAUUAAUGCCUAAGAUAAAGGCAA
rnacentral:rRNA from 1 species